GGUCUCAGCUCUGAAGUCCAACCCGUCCCACCUGUCAGAACUGGACCUGAGCUUCAACAACCUUCAGUCUUCAGAUGUUCAGCAGCUCCAGGAUCUGGUGAAGAGUCCCAACUCCAAACUACAGACUCUGAGGUGGAAGGACUAUAGAGUCUGAUGUUCCUCCUGGAGGAGCAGAGAGGAGCAGCAGCAGCUGGUCUGCAGAGAUGUUGUGACUGGACGGUGUUCCUGGGAGGUGGAGAGCAGAGUGAUGGAGGAAUCAGAGGAAGUGGAGAUGAGUGUCAGAGCUGCAGCAGGAACUGAUCUGAUAUCAGCUUCACUGUCUCUCUCAGCAUCAAGUGAACAGUUAUUGUGCCGCAGCUCCCCCGGUGGACUGAUGGAGAACUACACUUCCUCUUCUCAUUCUAACUUGGAGUGUUGAUCAGUUGGAUUCAGAUGUUCAACAGUUCCAGAAUCUGGAUUAGUCAUGAAUCGAUUGGAAAAUUUAAAUACAUGCUUAAACAUCUACAUCCACAUAAAUAUUUCAUUUGUAAUAACUCACAAUCAACAGACAUUUAACACUUAACAUUUAACACACUAGAUUUAAGACACAUUUAAGACAUUAAACAUCAGGUUUGUCAAAAGGAUAAAUAAUUGCUUCAAAAAGAAGGGAGAAAGCAAACACAUAAUCCCAAUCCCAUCAUGCUCAACUGAACUUUGUAUUUUAUAUUUUUCCAUUUGGAUCCGGUUCUUAACAUCUGAUAAGUUAUUUAUAUUUUACCAUCACAAACGCAGAUCAUAAAAAAUAAUAAUAAUAAAAUCAAAUGACAAAAAUUAAAUGCAUAUAAUUAUGUCAGAAGGCCUAACAUUACUUCAGAAAUCACAACAUAUUACAAAUUACGUAAUAAAAUGAUUAAUAUUUGGGAAAUUAUUACUUAAGUAAAUUGUAUUAAUCAGUAAUCCAUUUUAUUAUAGAGUAUGACUUACCAUAGAGUGAGCAGUGUCUCAGUUUUUAAAGCUGGGAAAAAUAAUUAACAUCUUGAUUUCAAAACCAUCAAUAACAUUCCAGGCUACCACUUCCUGUAAACAAAUCUACCAACAAGCAUUUGCUCUAAAUCACUGUUCAAUGACUCACCGUCACAGCUGAACCAGAAAACCCAAGAAAACCAGAACCAGACUAAACCAAAACCAUUUCCAUCCCAUUUGUGGUCAGCUUACAUUGACUUCGCCCCCCCUCCCUGACACCCGGAAAAAUGUUUUUUCUUGCCCAUACGUGUCGACAUGUGUCGAGUAGUUUGUCCUGUUCUCUUUUCUCAUUAAAAACUUUACCAAUCAGG